rnacentral:rRNA from 1 species
GGAGAUAGCUGGUUCUCCCCGAAAGCUAUUUAGGUAGCGCCUCGUGAAUUCAUCUCCGGGGGUAGAGCACUGUUUCGGCUAGGGGGCCAUCCCGGCUUACCAACCCGAUGCAAACUGCGAAUACCGGAGAAUGUUAUCACGGGAGACACACGGCGGGUGCUAACGUCCGUCGUGAAGAGGGAAACAACCCAGACCGCCAGCUAAGGUCCCAAAGUCAUGGUUAAGUGGGAAACGAUGUGGGAAGGCCCAGACAGCCAGGAUGUUGGCUUAGAAGCAGCCAUCAUUUAAAGAAAGCGUAAUAGCUCACUGGUCGAGUCGGCCUGCGCGGAAGAUGUAACGGGGCUAAACCAU